rnacentral:rRNA from 1 species
UGGGGAAUAUUGGACAAUGGGGGCAACCCUGAUCCAGCAAUGCCGCGUGAGUGAUGAAGGCCUUCGGGUUGUAAAGCUCUUUUGCCAGGGACGAUAAUGACGGUACCUGGAGAAUAAGCCCCGGCUAACUUCGUGCCAGCAGCCGCGGUAAUACGAAGGGGGCUAGCGUUGUUCGGAAUUACUGGGCGUAAAGGGCGCGUAGGCGGUCUGAUAAGUUAGGUGUGAAAUUCCCGGGCUUAACCUGGGCGCUGCACUUAAUACUGUUGGGCUUGAAUUCGGGAGAGGAUAGUGGAAUUCCCAGUGUAGAGGUGAAAUUCGUAGAUAUUGGGAAGAACACCAGUGGCGAAGGCGACUAUCUGGACCGACAUUGACGCUGAGGCGCGAAAGCGUGGGGAGCAAAC